AGGUAGAUGAGGUGGAGACAUUGGAAACACAGGCAAAGAGGAAGAAGAGACCACUCACCUGUAAUUUCAACAGCAACAAAAGACCUGAGGUUCCACCAUCAGAACUUCACGCCCUAAGGAAGAUGCAGCAUUUCCUGUAAAAUGCAAGUGCUCCCAGGCAGAGGUAGCUCCCGAAGCCAUGAUCAGUUAUGUAUACCUUAGUGGCAGCUGAUUAACAGACUCUUCCCCAGAGCCAGCUGACAGGAAGCACAUCGGGGUAAAAGGGAAGAUGAAAACUUGGGUGCCUGGAGGAAGGGAACAAAUGCGAGCAGGAGCAUGGUAAUAACAUAGGUAAAAUAGCAGACGUUUAUACAUUACACCUGUGUGCCAGGCACUGUUGUAAGUACUGGAUAGAUAGACAGAUAAGUGGAUAGAUAGAGAGCUAGAGCUAGAGAGAGAGAGUGAGAGAGAGAGAGAGAUUUAUUCUGGCAAUAGUACAAUGCCAUGGGUGUUGUUAUCAUCACCAUUUUACAAAUCAGGAAACGGAGGCCCAGAAAGUUCACAUGUGCUGGUCUUUGCCCUCCAGACCCACCCUCCACCUUUCUCCUCCCUGCUCUGUGUCCUGAGGGCUGAUCUCUGCCCUCAACUUUACCCACUGCCUUGUCCUCUGGCUUCUAGUUGGACUCAGCCCACAGGGGCAUUGGCAGGAGUACAGGGGGUCAGAGUAUUUGCCCAGCUUCCUUCCUACCAGCCUUGGUUUUAGCAGAGCUGCUUUCCUCUUCCCCUGGCCACAGGUCCCACCCUCGGCCCCUCUCCCAGGGCUCUAGCUGCCACCACUUUCUUCACAUGCCCCUUGCCCUUGCUCCUGACCCCUCCAGUCCCAGAGGUUGCACAGCCUUCUGGGGCUGCCCCGUGCUUUGUGGGUUCUGCACACACCUCUGUAAACAGCCCCUCCUGCAAACUCUGCUCAAACAUCCAUCUCCUGUGGGACCCUGCUCAACAUCACUCAUCUGGUAAGAGCUAGAGGCGGAAUUCAAACCCUGGCCGUCCAGCUGCAGGCUGCCAAGAGCCUCUCAGCCACUAUGCCCGUGCCCCUCAUCAGUAAGUGUUGGCAACUCCUGAGCCUGCUGUGCAUCAGGGUCUCUGUGCAUUGCUCUAUGGAAUGGGAUCCCACAGGACUUGGGUCCUGAGGUCAGUGUUUAUGAGGGAACGUGGCAUUUGUGACUUUACAUGACAGUUGCGCUCAGCAGGGUGGACUCACCUGAUGCUCACAGGCCUGAAACUGACAGAGGGUCUGGAAUAUUCCUGCCAUUUGUCUUGUCCUCAGUCCUGACUGAGUGUUCUUUGAGCACUCAGCCAUAUUUGAGCACAACAGCCAUGUCAAAGAUGAAAAUCAGUCCAGGCUCUUUGCUUUGCCAAGGGGGAAACUGAGGCCCAAAGAGGGGUGUAGUUUGGGCCAGGUCUCCUGGCUCCAUAUGCCAGAGGAGGCAUACAGCUCUGAGCAGGAAGGAUGACUGUUUCCAUAGGAGAGCGCCAAACGCAAGGUUGGCAGGAGGGGUCGGAGCUCGGCGUCCUCACCACCACUGACAUUCCAAGGCUCCUCCGUUGAAAGCUUUAUUUGGAGCCUAAAAGCUGGUAAUUGGGAGAAGUCAGUGUGACUCAUAUACCAACACUGUUUUUGUUUUUCCUUUCUUAAAAUUCUCAACUACUGGCUAUUUUUAUUUCAGAGCCAGAAUUGAUUUCGUGGCUUUCUUUCUCCUCUUCUGGGAUUUUGUGCCCUAUUGCCACAGAAACCCUGGGCCCCUUCCCCAGCUGUCAUGAAGGUGCCUGAGUGAUGGUCAGAGAGAUGACCGGAGGGGCCCACCCGGCCACCGCAGCAGCAGCAGCCAAGGCGGGACUAAGCCUCCACACCCCACAUCUCAGUCGUGGCCAGCCCGGGAUGCCUGCCUCUCCUGCCCUGUGGUGUUGCUGUCCUCAUAUGACCCUUCAGUCCCCCGACAUCUGGACAGGCUUUAGGGACCUGCUUGAGCAGAACAUGGUAGAAGUGAUGGACUGGGGCUUCUGAGGCUAAGCCAUAAGAAGCCUUGAGAAUUUCACCUGGCCCUCACUGUCUCUGGGAGCCCUGAGCCAUGAUAGAAGAAGUCCUUCCUAUAUUGAAUGUCCUUGAGACCUCCAGUACUGGAAAGGGCAUUUGUAGAUGCUCAGACCAACAGUCCAAACUGAGCCCAGUCUGCCAACUUGCCCUGCCAAGGUGUCAGAUGCAUAUGUGAAUGAGACCAUCCUAGACCUGCUGAUAGCCCAUCACCCGGCUGACUGCUACUGAGUAACCUCUGCCAACUUCACGCCGAACACAGAACUGCUGAUUUGAACUCUGCCUGAAUUUCUUGGCCCACAGAACAAUGAGAUAUAAUUAAAAGGCAAUGGUUC
rnacentral:lncRNA from 10 species